rnacentral:rRNA from 1 species
GACGAACGCUGGCGGCGUGCUUAACACAUGCAAGUCGAACGGAAAGUCCCUGCUUUUGUGCGGUGCUCGAGUUGCGACCUGGUGAGUAACACGUGAGUAACCUGCCCUUGACUUUGGGAUAUCUUCAUGAAACUUGGGCUAAUACCGGCUAGGAUCUCCUGCUGCAUGGUGGGGGUUGGAUAGUUUCGGCGGUUGGUGAUGGAAUCGCGUCGUAUCAGCUUGUUGGUUGGGUAGUGUCUUACCAUGGCUUUGACGGGUAGCAGGCCUGAGAGGGUGAGCGGCCAAAUUGGGACUGAGAUACGGCACAGACUCGUAUGGGAGGCAGCAGUGGAGAAUAUUGCACAAUGGGCGGAAGCCUGGUGCAGCAAAGCAGCGUGGGGGAUGAGGGGAAUCGGGUUGUAAAGCGAAGUCGCCUGUGACGAAGCGAGAGUGACGGUAAUGGGUAAAGAAGCUCCGGCUAACUACGUG